GCCUACGGGGGGCUGCAGUAAGGAAUAUUGGUCAAUGGACGAAAGUCUGAACCAGCUAUGCCGCGUGGAGGAUGAAGGCCCUCUGGGUUGUAAACUUCUUUUAUAUGGGACGAAAAAGGGCUUUUCUAGGCCAACUGACGGUACCAUGUGAAUAAGCACCGGCUAACUCCGUGCCAGCAGCCGCGGUAAUACGGAGGGUGCAAGCGUUAUCCGGAUUCACUGGGUUUAAAGGGUGCGUAGGUGGGUUGGUAAGUCAGUGGUGAAAUCCCCGAGCUUAACUUGGGAACUGCCAUUGAUACUAUCAGUCUUGAAUACCGUGGAGGUCAGCGGAAUAUGUCAUGUAGCGGUGAAAUGCUUAGAUAUGACAUAGAACACCAAUUGCGAAGGCAGCUGGCUACGCGAAUAUUGACACUGAGGCACUAAAGCGUGGGGAUCAAACAGGAUUAGAUACCCGAGUAGUCC
rnacentral:rRNA from 1 species